AUCACUUCUUAGCCUUUUGGCUGAGAUCAAGAAUAGUAUGUUCUUAUCCGUUUAACGUCUGAUACCUCUUCUAUACGAGGCCAAUAUAUUAAUGGAUUUUUGGAGCAAGGAGUUGGAAUAGGAGCUUGCUCUGUCCACUCUAUGCAUCGACCUGGUAUUGUGGUCCCUCCAGGAAUGGUGCAACCAAC